rnacentral:rRNA from 1 species
ACGUAGGGUGCGAGCGUUAAUCGGAAUUACUGGGCGUAAAGCGUGCGCAGGCGGUUCGUUAAGUCAGCUGUGAAAGCCCCGGGCUCAACCUGGGAACUGCGGUUGAAACUGGCGAACUAGAAUCUGGCAGAGGGGGGUGGAAUUCCACGUGUAGCAGUGAAAUGCGUAGAGAUGUGGAGGAACACCGAUGGCGAAGGCAGCCCCCUGGGCUGAGAUUGACGCUCAGGCACGAAAGCGUGGGGAGCAAACAGGA